GGGCGUAUAGGCUAGUGGCAAACCACCUCGUUUACACCGAGGAUUCGGAAGUUCGAUUCUUCCUACGCCCA
rnacentral:tRNA from 1 species